CGCUACACUCGCAAUAACAUCUGCUAACCAUGUGUAUGUGACCAAUACAAUUUGAUUUGAUUUGAUGUGAAUUAUUGAGUUUGAAAUUCAAGAUGGAUGUCUUCCCUGACCCCUGCAUGAGUUUUUCUUGGUAUGGCCAUCGAAAUGCGGCGAUGGUAAACAGCCAAACGUGCUUACAGCUUCCCCCGCGGUCUCCGCUGCACGGACUCCUGUCCUGCACAUCACUUGAGAACAUUCCUGACGCGAACGAGUUCCCGGGUUGACCGUCCAGGACUAGUGUUGGGCUGACAACAACAGGAACACUUUGCUGCACAACAAGUGACGUUUUUAAGAACGUUUUUCCUCUGGAUAAUUUGUAAUGUCCCAGAUUCGUUUUGCCCCCUAAAGCUAUGAUACAAUUGAAAGAAAAAUUGGAGGAAAAUUAUCAAUUUUACACAGGAAUCUCCUUGCAAUUAUUUAGCCACAAAUAGCAAUCAAAAGUCAACCUGGUGGAAGACAGUCAACAAAGUCGGGGUGGGAUACAGAGCGGUGGCAGGCCUAAUCAAUGUGACAAUUACCAUUCGAUUUGAAUCUGGGGAAUGAUAGGCCUGAACACGAGCUGUGGGUUGCUUUUAACACCCUGCUUUCACUCAAGGGAUUUUCCUUACAGCAAGAUUAAGUAUAAAAGGAAAAUGUGAUAAAAGAAAAUGGGUUAUUUAAAGUUUCGCCCUGUAGAUGUCAGUCUCAGAUGUCAGUCUCAAAU
rnacentral:lncRNA from 1 species